rnacentral:tRNA from 1 species
CAGGAAAUAGUUUAACAGAAAGAACAAUAGCUUUGGGAGUUAUCGGUAUAAGUGCGUAUCUUAUUCUCCUGA